ensembl:lncRNA
ACCAAUUUGGAGUGGUCUGCCUCCGUCUUCAGUCUCUCCUUGCUCUCCAUGGACACAGGCCAGUUUUGAAUUUCACCUGGGAAAUCCCAGGACCGUGAACCAACAGACACCCUACCCUGACACCGUCCAAGCUGUACAUGACUCCCUUUACUUCUUCACCCUGAAGAUGUUGCAAACAGUAUGGAAAGAAGCACCUCGGAGAGAGGAUUGUAGACGGCAUCACAGCAACAGCCCCCUUAGUCACGCCUUAAUACUGGAAUGCGUAUACAUCUUUAGUCUUGCUUCAAUAACGCUUGUCAGCCUCAGGCUCCAUGAAAACCGCCGCAUCCAAUGUUUGUUUUGUCUGUUAAUUUAUAACAUUUGGGGCCAGAUGUGAAUUGAAAAUCCUUCACCAAACUGUCAAAAGCAACAAUUAAAAAAUCUUCUCCAGGAAUUGCCACAGCAGUCACUCCAUUCCAGAUGUAGGACGGAAAGCGCACGAAAACGACAGGGCUGUGAGUUCCCGCGGCCAGGUUUCCAGCAGGACGAGCGCAGAGCGGCGGCCGACGACAUCUCGCGGCAGGCCUUGCUGUCCCGCGAGAGGUUUCCCGAUGGGUAGUUAUCUGACUUCCGGCUUCUCGCGGAUCAUAACCUUUCCUAGAGAGUCUGAGUUGCCUCGGAUAAUGAAGUUUCCAAAAUUUCCGUUUGGUGUUCCCCGAUGAAAAUGCUUGUUCACCAAGAGUCAGAGUUUCCAGAAGAAGAAACUGACAUCAAAGAGAUUAAGGAAUUUGCCUGAGGACAUAUGCAUCCGUCUACUGUAAUAUCAACAUGAAUCAACUUUCUAAGAAUUGUCAAAUCUGGACCUUGACAACAUUAAGUCUGUGGACCAAUGGAAAAUAUUAACAAUUCACACAAAAAAUAUGUGUUGGUCGCCUAAUGUCUAUGAAGUACUGGGGACAAAAGAUGAUGAGAGAAAAUAUUCAAGGGAAGUUGAUAAUUUGCAUCCUUAUAUUACUGCCUCAUGUUUAGAUUCCUUCCAAAAAUUAGAAUCUGUUCAACAGUUAAAACUAUGCUGAUCUUAUCAUCAUGAACUCAUACCUUUAUUUGUAUUGUGGAUUGUUGUCAGGGAAUACCCCUAUACUCAGCAAGAAGUUCUGCAAGGAAGGGUCGUAAGACAUGCCACAGUGAGUGGAGAUAAGAGUAACAUUAUGUUCCAAGUCGUCAAGCCUUUUAAUUCUCUAGGACAGUUUUACAGUUCACAAGUCUAGUGAAUCCUUAGACUGUCAAUAAAGAUUUAUAGAAAAUCACUACCUAAGCACAGGUACUCCAGUGUAAAAAAUGUCAUUCUAUUUUACCGCAAAUCAUACCUACUGGGAUUCUGCCUCCUUGUUAUUUUGCUUGUUUUUGAGGCCUACACUGACUUAAUCCUGUUGAGAAAGGAAAUCUAAAUACUUUCACAACAAAGAAGAGGCUCUAGAAGCUCUCCAGAGGCCUUGACAAAUGAAUAUCAAUAGAUUUCCUCUAAAAGAAAAUAUUCUGUAUGUGAGAACUUUACUGAAAUAUAACCAAUUUAUCAUGGUUCCCCCCUUUUAUAUUAGCUUAUUUAUAAUAUCAUUUCACAGACAUGGUUCUGGCCUUGAAAAAUAUACGUCCUCACUUUAUAAUAUGUUGUCAAAGGUUAAAAAUUUUAAUUUGAAAAUAAAAAAGGAAUAUGGACAAUAUAUCACUAUUCAAAUUAUUUUCAAAUCCUUUGGUUUUGUUUGUUGGCAUUAGAAAUAUUAAAUUCUGUAAAAAAAGGCCGCCUCAGGAUUAUCUUCAUAUAAGGUUUGUAGCACAGAGAGUAACUGACAAGGCGUAUACAGAGACACACAGUCAACCACAUUAUGAUUGAUUUUGUUUUUAGUGAAAAUGGCAGUUGGUUAUGCCUUAAAGCUGGAAGCAUUGGCAGAAGAUAUGCUGAUACUUUGACAGUACAGGGAAGUGACACGAUAGAUAGGACUAGGCCAAAACCCACUCAAUAAAUACAUGACUAGUUUGGGACUGUUAGUCCCACAACAGACGCUGAUUAUGGGCAAUCAGUAGUUCCAAGGUACAAAUACUAAGAGAUAUAGUGGUCUCCACUGUAAUUCAAGUGGUUAUAAACAAACACCUUUAAGAUUUAUCCAGGGUGUGAGGUAGAGCAGAGGCAAAUCCAUUGUUCUGUCAAAUAUUGAACAAUAGGUGGGCAGCAAUCAGGAUUCUGAGAGAGAUUUACAUAAGAAGAAGUGGGAGCAGAUGCAGCUGUGGGGGAUGCUGGAGUCACCAAAGGCAAGGAACCUGGUAAGAACUAGCUAGUUUGCUAGAGUGCGACCAAGGGUGCAGUGCUGAGGGAUUGAAUGCUAGUCAUAGUGGUGAAUCACGGUAUUAGCCCAGGAAAUUAGGACAAUUGGAGUCAGAGUAGCCACUGAGGAAAAAGGUGAAAGCAAUAGGAAAAAUGGAAAAUGUUUUGCCUCAAUCUGUUUAUGAGCCUGAGGCUAGCACCUGGGUAGUGGAUCAUCAAUCAUCUUUCAACUAAAAAUGAUUUGGCUAAGGAAAAGUUAAAGGUCAUUUUAGGUUAUUGAUAAGCUAUGUAAAACUGGAGGCCGUCAAUUUACGGAGGCACUGUACUUUGGUUUCUUAUGAUUUUCUAAAGCAUAUGCCAAAAAAUGGUUAAUGGUAAGACUGACUGAGCAUGUUGUAUGCUUGGGCCAGUAAGUAUAACAGGUGAAAUAAUUGAUAAUAUAAUUAUUAAUGGAAUGUCUCACUUCCCAUCCACCAUGACACUGAGGUCCCUGGUGACCUAGUGAUUGUUAAUAGACUUCUACCAUAGGACAUUUAACUAAAUUGUUAAAAUGAAUUAAAAUCGCUUGGUGACUGACUGCAGUGUGGUCAGUCUAAUUAACAAUCUAGUUUGUGCAGGAAGAUACCCUCACCCUUUAUUGAACUUCUAAAUUUGCAUUAUAUAGUCACUGCUGUACGGCUCCAUGUUGGUUAAAAAAAUAAAAAAUAGCAUGGGAGAGAAAAAAUACAGUGAAAAGGUCUAGCUAUAAUUAUUUUCUCUGUUUUGCUUUGCAGACCAUUAAUACCACAGAGUUUGAAAUCUAUUCUUGAAAAGGUUUAACUGAACUUUUAGCAAUGUAUUUUGAACAGUAUUUUUGAGGGGCAGUUCAAAAUGAUGGAUAGCUUUUGCAAAGAUUAAAAAUUAAAAUUAUUAAGUGUGUCCUUGGGAAGAAUCGUUCAGAGAGGAUGCUACCAUUCAGUCUAGUUUCCAAACUCAAUAGUUUAUGAAUACAAAUAUUUUUAUGAAUCACUGGAGGAAAAUAAAGCUUUCCAAAACUAAGACAUGAUAAAAAUUAAUUGUAUUUUUAAAUGUUUCUAAUG